UCUUGCGUUGCAAUGUAUGCAGAAAGCACCCUGGCUUAUUCCGUAAUUCAGCGACGAAGUGCAUAUCCAUCUUCUCUGUUCGCUUCUUCCCUGAUACAAUUCGCACCGCCGCCGCCUAGGGCAUGUCUCCUGCCGCCGCCGCCGCCGCUGCCUAGGGCAUGCCCCCAUCCACUGUUGCUAGCCCAAAUCCAGCGCAACUCGCGCGCGUGCCGAUUCCUUGGCUCAGAUCCGGUCAGUUUCAUAGGAGCGGAGAUGGACCUUCCCCCGCCGUCGCUGGAGCCAAAUGCGUCGCGGGAGCCGGAGACCCUCGGCAAGGACGAUCAGGACUAGAUGUCCGCGCUGCGGGAGUCGGCGUCGUUCGGAUUCGGUCGAUUCCUAUCCGAGUCACUCGAAUGGGAUACGAUGGGGCAUGUCUUGCCAGCACCGACGGCUACCAUAUUGCAUGACCAAUCGCUGCAGCAGCCGGGCUCAAUCAAGAUGUACAGGACAAUUUCUCGGUGCCGACCACAACGGUCGGAGCUCACUCUGCCUCCUCCAAUUGUAGUGAUGCAUGCAUUGCCAAUUCUGGAGCAGGCGUUAGUUGUAGUCCGUGCUUGCCUGCUGCCCGGUCCUCAGCAAAUAUUGAAGGAGCUGCACUGCAUUUGGUUAGUUCAUCCUCCGAUUUCAUAGUAUCGUCUAUUGCUCUCCUCAAUGUAGUCCUUGAAGUCUGCUACAAUGUGCCUAAAAUUAUGAACUGAAAGCAGCUCUUGCAACUGUAUGACAACAAACAAAAGAAGCGAAAAAAUUAUAGAAGUACAACUACAUCUAAUGUUAGUCAUGGUUAUGGAAAUUUCAUGUCUCGCCAUGUAAUACUAGCAGAUGUUUAAGUUAGUUCAGAGUAGAUAUAUGCAUCAAUAUUUUAAUCUUUGCAGAAUUAGAACUAGAAGAAUGCUUGCUAUGUGGACAAAAGUUGUUGUUCAGUCACUCUGUUACAACAUAUUGCUAAACAUGAAAAUCUAGCAGUGUUUAAAUGUUGUCUGUUGCUUCCUCAGAUGUUUAAGUUAGUUCAGAGUAGAUAUAUGCAUCAAUAUUUUAUUCUUUGCAGAAUUAGAACUAGAAGAAUGCUUGCUAUGUGGACAAAAGUUCUUGUUCAGUCACUCUGUUACAACAUAUUGCUAAACAUGAAAAUCUAGCAGUGUUUAAAUGUUGUCUGUUGCUUCCUCUCUUAAUAUGUCUAGCUGAAUUGUACACAUAAUCUUUCUUAUAGAGUGUAAUAGAAUCUUUCUUACAUAUAGUAUAGUUGAAAAUCACAUGUACAGACUAGUGCAAGUUCGGACCAAAAUGUAUUAUUAGUCGAGUAAGUGAUUAGACUAUUUCGAAGUACACUGUCUAUAGAUUGAGUGAUUCACUAAAUUCAUACCAGACGAAGCCCAAGAAUGUUUGACUAACAAAAAUCCCAGUUGAAUUCUAUCUCAGGCUGGACAACUGAGUACUAGAAAUCUAUGCAGCUGUAAUAAACUAGCUUACUGACCAUUUAUGCCAACUGAGAUUUAACAAAUGUUAUGGGUAAAUACACUAUUAGCUUCACACCCGACAACAAAUGUAAAAAGGAAAAAAAGAGGUGAAUAUCACUCAAUUGUUUGUGAGCAUGUCAUGGUCUCGUAGUUCAACAAAUGAUUUUUUACAUGGUAUUAUAGGUCAAGAAGCUUCAAAAUAGAUCAGGGGGAUAAGAAGGUGCACCAGUCUCGAAGGUUAUUUGGCAUUUCCCAUAUGUCGUAUUGUUUUCUUGAAAGUUUUUUUAGGUCCGAGUUCUUGAUUUUAUCCUGUAGGUGUGCUUUUGUGCCUACCACGGGAUGGUGUAGGACUAUGAACUCAUCAAGUGAUUUGUAGCAAUAUUGUUUCAUUUAGCUAUGUUAUAAUUUGUGAACUAUAUCAUCUUGUGAACUAUAUUAAGGUCAUGUUAAUUCCAAGACAAAGAUGCUAGUGUUUAAAGCCGCUCAAUUUUCUUGAAGGUAUAUGUUGAUGUUCCUUUGAUAUGAAUUUUUACGAGAUGAUAUGCAAGUAUGCAAAUACGCUGUUUUUGCUAGGGACAUCUUAACUUUAAAUGUAACCAGCUCGUACUAAUUUGGACAAUGUUUCAAAAUGCAAGAUCGAACCAUUGCUUAUCUAGGUGACUCUUUAGGGAGGCAAGAUGUUCCAAUCGGUGAUGUGCAUGCUUUCAACAUCCAAGAAACCUGCAAAACGAUCAAAUAGCUGGGUCUACUGAUUCCGGAGCAGAAACAUCUUCAUCCUUUUGGUGUUUUUGUUGUGUAAUUAGGGGAAUCGUCUGUGUUACCAGUUGACAAGAGUUGUAAUAUAUGCCUUUUAGGUUUAGGAGUAGCACCCUGUUUAGUUUAGCAAAUCUGAAGUACAACUGUUGUUACAUAUAUGCGCAAUUUCAUGGCAAGCGUUGCAUUGUGUUUUGUCAAUCUGGAAGAUUGUACCCCUCUGGUUUGCUUUAUUGCACAGCAACAUGCUUUUAUAUCUGAA